CCUACGGGUGGCAGCAGUGAGGAAUAUUGGUCAAUGGGCGAGAGCCUGAACCAGCCAAGUCGCGUGAGGGAGUACUGCCCUAUGGGUUGUAAACCUCUUUUGUCGGGGAGCAAAAGCCGGACGUGUCCGGCUGUGAUAGUACCCGAAGAAAAAGCAUCGGCUAACUCCGGGCCAGCAGCCGCGGUAAUACGGAGGAUGCGGACGUUUUCCGGUUUUAUUGGGGUUAAAGGGGGCGAAGGCGGAUUUUUAAGUCAGCGGGAAAAUCGUGGGGCUAAACCCCAUCCAGCCGUUGAAACUGGGGAUCUAGAGUGUGCGAGAGGUAUGCGGAAUGCGUGGUGUAGCGGUGAAAUGCAUAGAUAUCACGAAGAACCCCGAUUGCGAAGGCAGCAUACCGGUGCACAACUGACGCUCAGGCACGAAAGCGUGGGUAUCGAACAGGAUUAGAUACCCCAGUAGUC
rnacentral:rRNA from 1 species